UACUUUGGUUAGGGUGGAAUUGCAAAUCUGUGUUUUUUUAUGGGUCAUAUUUUGUCAUUUUAUAUAUUCUUGGUGAGUAUGUGUUCUUCUGUGAUUGGUUGGAUUUUUUUAUAGUUUUUUUUUUUUGGACACGUCUGACUUCUUUAUAAGGUGUUUUUUCUUCAGCCGAUUCGUGUUAUCCAUCUGUUACUGAACCUGUAAUGUGUCCUGCACCUUUGCUACACCACCUCUAAGUUUCAAUAGCAUUGAUCCAUAUUUGCUUAUCGCUUCUAAUCUCCUCAUCUUUCUUCCCCCACCCAUCCACAAUAUUUUCUCCUUUUAACGUCGGAGAGCCCCCAAUCGCUCAUCGGUGUCAUUUUUUUACCUUUCUUUUUACUUGUUAUCGGAGUGGUGUUUUUCACUUCCUGUCUUCUGUUUUUCUUGAAGCCUCUCCCACUAUGAGUGGUGUCGCCUACCACUGUCGAAUUAUUCUCUCUUUUUACGACGUCCUUGCACCUCCUCAGUCCAACCGAUUCUCCCUCUGACGCCACCGUCCCACUGUUAUCUACUACAUUACACCGACUGAUGCUUGAUUCCUUUUUCUUCAAAGAACCCAACCGCUUCUUAGCCCAACGAUUGAUCGAGUUUCUUCCAUCACCUUUGACUCAUCCUACCAGAUCCUUCCACUUGUCGUCUCUUUGAUUCAUCAGAUUUCGUUGGCCUCUUCUAGCUACGGAAGAAGAAGUGAAUGACAGAACGUCUAAUUGGGGGUCAAUGACACAUGGUUGUCUCCAAAACACAUGAGUGUCGACCAAAGGCUUUUAAGGUGCGAUACUUCUUUUAAUUAGGCAUCAAGUAUGUAAGGGUGUUGAAAAUUACAUUUGUGUUGUGAAAAUGGAGUGUUUUAACUUUUGGAUGAAAAUUAGAUUGAAUUUUGGAUUAUAUGUAUUAAGUUAGUAUUGUGAAAAUGGUAUUGAAAAUGGGAAUAUAAUUAGAGAGAUCUUUGUUGGAUGAAA